GUGAGGAAUAUUGCGCAAUGGGCGAAAGCCUGACGCAGCGACGCCGCGUGGAGGAUGAAGGUCUUCGGAUUGUAAACUCCUGUCGUGCGGGACGAAUGCCUCGGUCGUGAACAACGGCCGGGGUUGACGGUACCGCAGGAGGAAGCCCCGGCUAACUCCGUGCCAGCAGCCGCGGUAAUACGGAGGGGGCCAGCGUUGUUCGGAAUCAUUGGGCGUAAAGGGCGCGUAGGCGGCCGAUCAAGUCGAACGUGAAAUCUCCCGGCUCAACCGGGAACCUGCGUCCGAUACUGCUCGGCUCGAGUCCCGGAGAGGGUAGUGGAAUUCCCAGUGUAGCGGUGAAAUGCGUAGAUACUGGGAGGAACACCGGUGGCGAAGGCGGCUACCUGGACGGGUACUGACGCUGAGGCGCGAGAGCUGGGGGAGCAAACAGGAUUAGAAACCCUAGUAGUCC
rnacentral:rRNA from 1 species